rfam:Chlorocebus sabaeus isolate 1994-021 chromosome 23, whole genome shotgun sequence.
GCCGGGAGUGGUGGCGCAUGCCUGUAAUCCCAGCUACUCGGGAGGCUGAGGUAGGAGAAUUGCUUGAACCCAGGAGCUGGAGGUUGCAGUGAGCCGAGAUUGCGCCACUGCACUCCAGCCUGGGCAACAGAGCGGGACUCCAUCUCAA